UGACAUUUCUGCAUGACGGUUUGCAUCUUAAGUGUAACUAAUCGUUUGAAAACUACAGUAUGUCAGUGUGUGCCAGUUUAUGAGAAGUUAAUAAUUUUAUGUUACAGGUAAUAGUCCAAAUAAAGUGAUUCACGUAGAGAAUGUCCGACUAAGCGCGGAUCCAAUACAAAUCCCUGGCCCUGAGACUGUUAGCUUGGACGUUCAGAUUCUAAAGCCGAUAGCCGGGAACCAUUUCACACUCAGUUUGACUGUAUCCAAAAAAGUGCUCUUUGGUUUCGUCACCGUUCCAUGCGUACGCGGAUUUGGAAUAGUUGGAAGUUGUCAAUACGAAGUGUGUGAUCUGUUAAGUGGUAGGCAUUUUAACAACACCCACCAUUGUCCGAAUGAAAUUGUGUCGUCGACGCCAGAUUUCCCUUGUGCCUGCCCGUUCCAGCCCGGAAAUUACCACCUCAAGCCCACAACAUUCAUCAUACCGGAACUAGCCGGUGCGUGGAAAUUUCUUGCAUCGGGUGACUACAGAACCUAUGCUGAGAUAAAGGACACAUCCACUAAUGAGGUUGUCGGAUGUUACAAUUUUCAAUGGUCAACUGUAGCCGACUGCGGCGGAUUCGGAUGUGUCUUCGGAUAGUUCUUUUGAUGUUAUUCAUUAUAUUCAAGACUUUACA